rnacentral:rRNA from 1 species
UUUGUAGAGGACGCCUUUGGCGCGGUGCCUUCCGAGUUCCCUGGAACGGGACGCCUUAGAGGGUGAGAGCCCCGUACGGUUGGACACCAAGCCUCUGUAAGGCCCCUUCGACGAGUCGAGUAGUUUGGGAAUGCUGCUCUAAAUGGGAGGUAAAUUUCUUCUAAAGCUAAAUACUGGCCAGAGACCGAUAGCGCACAAGUAGAGUGAUCGAAAGAUGAAAAGCACUUUGAAAAGAGGGUUAAAUAGCACGUGAAAUUGUUGAAAGGGAAGCGUUUGCGACCAGACCUCUCCCCGGCGGGUCACCUGGUGUUCUUCACCGGGGCACUUCGCCGGGGCAGAGGCCAGCAUCGGUUUCCGCAGGGGGAUAAAAGCUCAGGGAACGUAGCUCCUUCGGGAGUGUUAUAGCCCUCCGCACAAUACCCCUGCGGGGACCGAGGACCGCGCCCCCGGGCAAGGAUGCUGGCGUAAUGG